CGGCAGGCUUCAUACAUGCAAGUCGAGGGGCAGCAUAAAUUACUUGUAAUUUGAUGGCGACCGGCGAACGGGUGCGUAACGCGUAUGCAACUUACCUUUUACUAGAGAAUAGCCAAGAGAAAUUUUGAUUAAUGCUCUAUACACUUAUUAAUUCACAUGAAUAUAUAAGAAAAGCUCCGGCGGUAAAAGAUGGGCAUGCGUCCUAUUAGCUUGUAGGUGAGGUAACGGCUCACCUAAGCUCCGAUAGGUAGGGGUCCUGAGAGGGAGAUCCCCCACACUGGUACUGAGACACGGACCAGACUUCUACGGAAGGCAGCAGUAAGGAAUAUUGGACAAUGGAGGCAACUCUGAUCCAGCCAUGCCGCGUGAAGGAAGACGGCCUUAUGGGUUGUAAACUUCUUUUAUACAGGAAGAAACCUUUCCACGUGUGGAAAGCUGACGGUACUGUAAGAAUAAGGAUCGG
rnacentral:rRNA from 1 species